AGCUGCGCAGUGAACACAAAGCGAACUAUUCUUUCGCCUUUUACUAAAGAAUACCGUGUGUUCGCUGCUCUUCAAGCAGCAUACGCCCAUUUUUGGAGGGUUUAUUUCCUUUGGAAAU
rnacentral:snRNA from 1 species